UGUGAGCCCUGUGGAGGGAAGCUGCUGUCACAAGGCUAGAAAAUCCAACACAAUGGAAGAUGACUUUUUAUUCAAGGCAGGAGGCAGAGGGAGCCAAAGGACAGUGGCACUGUGACAAACCCUGGGCAGCAUCUUAUUUUUCGGUGGAAAUGGUUCUCUCCCACGAAGGGAAGCUCAGAUCACCUGGGAAGAGACCUGGGUGCUGCAAAGGCUAUUUGAGUUUGAAAAAUCGUCUGAACUCAGAAUUUCGUUUUCCUGUGCUCUUUGUGAAAAUGGGAGAAAAUGUUUUCCUAUGUGUGUCUUGACAGGUGAUUAUGAGAUAUUCAAUAGAUCUUAACUCUAGAGGCUGGCUGCAGUUUAAUUAAAUAUAGUACUGAUGUUUGUGGCAUUCCUAUUUGAUUUUUUACUCUAGUGAAUCAAAUUUAACCUAAAGAGCCUUCCCUAAGUGAACUGUCCUUUGAUUUUCAGUGAUGCCUCAUUUGCACAGAGAAAGAGAUACUGAAGAUCAGUUGUUCCCAUCAACAGUUGAUGCUUUUACAUGGAUAUGUAAUAACAACCUAACAUCAGUUCAUUGACAUGAAUCUCAGCAUUCUGUGCAUGAGAACAUUCUCAAUUUUGAGUAAUGCAGUGCCAUUCCGAAGGUGAUGCAGGUGAUUCGAGCCUUCCCAGUACUUGGCUCUCGUUCUCAGACAGAAAACAUGUAUGGAUGGAUGACAGAGCCUAGGUGACAGAAGGAGAGAUAUCCAGACAGAAGACAUGUAUGUAUGGAUGAUUUCAAUAUAUUAUGACAAGCACUUAUAUAAAGAUAUAAACAUAACGCCGGAGGACUUACAAAGAUAUAAAUACAGAGGAAGGCAUGAUUUAGGCUUUCUAAAGAAAUAAACGAGUAUGUUUACAGAGAAGGUAAUAUUUGAGCUGAGUUUAGUGGGUUGCAUAAGAGCUUCCUAGGUGGGGAAGUCGGCGAUGUUCUCGCCUGGGUUCAGAGAGUGGAGUGUGUGCAAGGGCAAGAGGUGCACUUAGGCGCUAGUGAGAGAUCGUGUGGCUGUGGCAGAUGAUGGAAGGACGAGAUGAAGCAAGAUGCAGACCCUGCUAUGCCAUGCGAAGAAAGUCAGAUUCUAUUCUCUACACAAUGUGAAGUAAUUGGAGAUAUUUCAGACUGAGAAUGGCAUGGUCCGCUGGGUGCAGUGGCUCCCGCCUGUACCCAGCACUUUGUGAGGGGGAUAAGGCAAGAGGACCGCUUGUGGCCAGGGCAUGAGAGCAGCCCGAGCAACAUGGUGAGACCCUGUCUCCACGAAAAAGAAACAACAUCAGCUGGGCACGCCAGCACGAGCCUGUAGUCCCUGCUACUUGGGAAGCUGUGGUGGGAGGAUCACGUGAAGGAAGGAGUUCAAGACCAAGCCUGGACAACAUCACAACG